GAUGAACGCUGGCGGCGUGCUUAACACAUGCAAGUCGAACGAAGCAUUUAAGACGGAUUACUUCGGUUUGAAGUCUUUUAUGACUGAGUGGCGGACGGGUGAGUAACGCGUGGGUAACCUGCCUCAUACAGGGGGAUAGCAGCUGGAAACGGCUGGUAAUACCGCAUAAGCGCACAGUACCACAUGGUACAGUGUGAAAAACUCCGGUGGUAUGAGAUGGACCCCGCGUCUGAUUAGCUGGUUGGUGAGGUAACGGCCCACAAGGCGACGAUCAGUAGCCGGACCUGAGAGGUGAACGGCCACAUUGGGACUGAGACACGGCCC
rnacentral:rRNA from 1 species